rnacentral:tRNA from 1 species
GCACUGGUGGUUCAGUGGUAGAAUUCUCGCCUUCCAUGGGGAGACUUAGGUUCGAUUCCCAGUCAAUGCA